ACGUACUGAAGGAUUCACGCUGUAAACUGGAGAGAUUGAGUCUUCAUGUCUGUGGCAUUACAGAUGUUUCUUCUUUAACUCAGUCUUUGACAAACACAAAAGCUCUGCAGUUUCUAAAAGAGAUUAAUCUGAGAGAAAAUAUGAUCGGAGACUCAAAGCAGAAGCUCAUUGAUGUGCUACGAGACUCAAACUGUAAACUGAUUAUAGAUAGACAGAAAUUUUCCAGGAGACAUAUGUUCAAUCACCUGAAGCUGAUAAAUGCUGUGUAUCAUAAAGUGAAGUGUUCUUGAGAGGAGCAGUAAUCAUCAGCUGAAGAUCCACAGAAAAGCUUCACUACUGUGUCUAUUAGGACAAAUAAAUGUGUGAUAAAUGUGUAAAUGUGAUCCAUACAGGUGAAGAGACUCAGACUUUACAAUCAAAUAAUGCAGCAUGUGUGUUAGGAACAUGAUAUUGAAU